AUUGGGUAGGGGAGCGUUGUGUAAGCGGAUGAAGGUGAGUUGAGAAGCUUGCUGGACGUAUCACAAGUGCGAAUGCUGACAUGAGUAACGAUAAUGGGGGUGAAAAACCCCCACGCCGGAAGACCAAGGUUUCCUGUCCCAUGCUAAUCAGGGCAGGGUAAGUCGGCCCCUAAGGCGAGGCAGAAAUGCGUAGUCGAUGGGAAACGGGUUAAUAUUCCCGUACUUGUAUAUUCAGUGAUGGAGGGACGGAGAAGGCUAAGCAAGCUUGGCGUUGGUAGUCCAAGUGAAAGUGAGUAGGAAGUGAGAUUAGGUAAAUCCGGUUUCACAAUUCCGAGACACGAGACGAUGCACCACGGUGCAGAAGUUGUUGAUGCCCUGCUUCCAGGAAAAGCUUCUAAACUUAUGAAUAUAUGAACCGUACCCCAAACCGACACAGGUGGUCAGGUAGAGAAUACUAAGGCGCUUGAGAGAACUCGGGUGAAGGAACUCGGCAAAAUUGUACCGUAACUUCGGGAGAAGGUACGCCCCUGUUUGUGAAGGCUUCGCGCCGUAAGCAGAUGGGGGCCGCAGUGACCAGGUGGCUGGGACUGUUUAUUAAAAACACAGCACUCUGCAAACACGAAAGUGGACGUAUAGGGUGUGACACCUGCCCGGUGCCGGAAGGUUAAUUGAUGGGGUUAGCUUAGGCGAAGCUCUUGAUCGAAGCCCCGGUAAACGGCGGCCGUAACUAUAACGGUCCUAAGGUAGCGAAAUUCCUUGUCGGGUAAGUUCCGACCUGCACGAAUGGUGUAACCAUGGCCACGCUGUCUCCACCCGAGACUCAGUGAAAUUGAAAUCGCAGUGAAGAUGCUGUGUACCCGCACCUAGACGGAAAGACCCCGUGAACCUUUACUACAGCUUGGCACUGAACAUUGAACCUACAUGUGUAGGAUAGGUGGGAGGCUUCGAAGCAUUGUCGCCAGAUGAUGUGGAGCCGUCCUUGAAAUACCACCCUUGUAUGUUUGAUGUUCUAACGUCGGUCCCUUAUCGGGAUUACGGACAGUGUCUGGUGGGUAGUUUGACUGGGGCGGUCUCCUCCCAAAUAGUAACGGAGGAGCACGAAGGUUAGCUAAUCACGGUCGGACAUCGUGAGGUUAGUGCAAUGGCAUAAGCUAGCUUAACUGCGAGACAGACACGUCGAGCAGGUACGAAAGUAGGUCAUAGUGAUCCGGUGGUUCUGUAUGGAAGGGCCAUCGCUCAACGGAUAAAAGGUACUCCGGGGAUAACAGGCUGAUACCGCCCAAGAGUUCAUAUCGACGGCGGUGUUUGGCACCUCGAUGUCGGCUCAUCACAUCCUGGGGCUGAAGUCGGUCCCAAGGGUAUGGCUGUUCGCCAUUUAAAGUGGUACGCGAGCUGGGUUUAGAACGUCGUGAGACAGUUCGGUCCCUAUCUGGUGUGGGCGUUGGAUGAUUGAGGGGAGCUGCUCCUAGUACGAGAGGACCGGAGUGGACGAACCGCUGGUGUUCGGGUUGUUUUGCCAAAGGCAUUGCCCGGUAGCUACGUUCGGAACGGAUAACCGCUGAAAGCAUCUAAGCGGGAAGCCGGCCCCAAGAUGAGUCAUCCCUGGACGUAAGUCCUGGAAGGGUUGUUAAAGACGAUGACGUUGAUAGGCAGGGUGUGGAAGCGUUG
rnacentral:rRNA from 1 species